GAUUUCUGGUAUUGCGCGUUUGGCCCACAGCUACGGCUGGCGCGUGCCGUUACUCGCUUACCAUCCUUCUGGGGAGGGUCUCGCAUCACUUUAAUGUGUUCGAGUUCUGUAACCAGAUCUUUUACUUUGAAAAAAUUAGAGUGUUUAAAGCAGGCUUGCGCUAUGAAUACAUUAGCAUGGAAUAAUAAUUUAGGACUUUUGCUCCUGUUUUGUUGGUUUAUUGGACGGAAGUAAUGAUUGAUAGGGAUAGUUGGGGGUGCUAGUAUUCAGCGGCCAGAGGUGAAAUUCUUGGAUUCGCUGAAGACUAACUUAUGCGAAAGCAUU
rnacentral:rRNA from 1 species